rnacentral:lncRNA from 1 species
UUUUUUUUUGUAUAUUAGCAAGAUAUUUAGGGUGGCAGUGAGAACAGAGGCCCUUUCCAUGGCCCAGAAAUAACUACACCAUGUAAGAGGCUGACGACAUUAUGGUGAUGAUGAUGUGCUAGUCAGACUAGACCAGGCCUUAAUGAUAAGCACUUGCCAUCUGUCAGGAAGGGGUGAGAAGUCACCUAAGGUAAAAUGAAUUCUGAUGUAAACAAGUUUGUCUUCAACAUCCCCCCACCUCCUGUUUAAGGAUCAGUCUUCUGACUGGGACCCUAGUAGCCUGUAGGCUCGAGUCAUCAAGGCCAUCUAAUCGUCCAUUCUAGAGCUUCCCUGCAUGCAAGCCAUUUAUCCUCCAGGCCAUUCCUCAUCUCUUUCUCCUUUUCAUCAAAUGUAUCUGCUAUGCGUCCUAUUCUAUCAAUGUUCGUUCACUACCAGGUCACAUAAAACUGUAAUUUGCUCGUCACUGUAAAUAGAUUUGCGGUAUGUAAGAUGGAGAGAGUAUCUGAAAUGAAACAAUGACUCUAAUGUUGAGACUAUCAGCUUCCAGGGAAGCCUAGGGUGGAAAAUAACUGGUGAUGAUGCCUGUAAGGUUAAGAAGUUAUAAGGAAUCCCCAAGUCCGUCUGUAUAUUUGAGUACUUUCUAAUGGUGCAGAGUUAGGCUUUGUGGAGAUAUAAAGAGGAAGACAUGGCCCCUAGUCCCAGGAGUUUGCAAUGAAGCAGGUGGGAUGGUGAAUUAGGCCAUUCUUGCAUGGCUAUAAAACAAAUACCCAAAGCUAGGUAAUUUAUAAAGAAAAGAGGUUUGAUUGGUUCACAGUUCUGCAGGCUUUACAGGAAGAAUGGUGCUGGCAUCUCCUAGGCUUCUGGGGAGGCCUCAGGAAGCUUACAAUCACGGCAGAAGGUGAAGUGGGAGCAGGCACGUUAUAUAGUGCGAACAGGAGCAAGAGAGAUGGGGGAAGGAGGUGCCACACACUUUUAGACAACCAGAUCUUGCCAGAACUCACUAUGACGAGGCCAGCCCUAAGAAGAUGGCAUUAAAUCAUUCAUGAGAAAUCCACUCCCAUGAUCCAAACACCUCCCACCAGGCCCCACCUCCAACACUGGGGAUCAUGAUUCAACAUGAGGUUUCGAGGAGACAACACCCUAACUAUAUCAGACGGAGAUCUUGGGUGCCAGGCACUUGCAUCCACCACUUUAAAUUACCUUAUUUAAUUGUGGUGGUGUCAUCAUCUAAUUUUGCAGACAAGGAACCAAGGCUCAGAGGAGUAAACUAUUUUUAUCCAAGGUGAGUCCCUCUCCAAGGGGCUGACUAGUGCCCCUCUUAGGACAGUAGCAAGUUGGAAUAAAGUUGGGCAUGCCUAAGGUCUUUAAGGAACAGGGGAUGCUUACUUCCUUUGCAUUCCUUUGGCCACUUACAUAGCAUACUUAAGCUCCUUCUGGAUAGACUGUGUCCUCUUAUUCACAUGCUGAAAU